AAAGGAUUACAGCUAAAGUUGAGUAGCUGGGAUUAUAGGCACCCACCACCAUGUCUGGCUAAUUUUUGUAUUUUUAUUAGAGACAGGGUUUCACCAUAUUGGCCAAGCUGGUCUCGAACUCCUGACCUCAGGUGAUCUGCCCACCUCGGCCUCCCAAAGUGCUGAGAUUACAGGCAUGAGCUGCCACAGCCAGCAAUCCCAGUGCCUUGGGAUGCCAAGGCAUGAGAAUUCUUUGAGGCCAGGAGUUCAAGACAAGACUGGGCAACACAGUGAGACACCAUAUCUACAAAAAAUAUUUUAAAUUGGCCGGGCAUGGUGGUGCACGCCUGUAGUCCCAGCUACUAGGGAGGCUGAGGUGGGAGGAUCACUUGAGUCCAGGAGGUCAAGGCUGCAGUGAGCUAUGAUUACACCCUGCACUCCAGCCUGGGUGACAGAGCGAGACCCUGUCUCUAAAGAAGACCACCUGGGCAUGGGUCCAGAACCCACCCCAGUGGAUCCCAGAUUCCCCGCAGAGCUCUGUCUACCAUCCUAGGCAGCAGCUCUUGAGCCAGACGAAUUACUGCUGGAAAUUGAAUGGCUUUCUUUGCAAUGACGUUUUUAAAGACCCAUUCUUUUUAUGGGGUCUGAUUAUUAAAGUAACACACACCCAGCUCUAACCAUUUUAAACUAUUAAGCUAUAUUGCGUGCAAAGUAGCCAGAGAAAAUUGCAUAUAAUUCCAACGCUCUUCACUUCCCAGAAAACCAGUGUGUAGAUGUAUUCCUGUCUUGUUCUGCUCUGCCUUUUAUGCCAACGGGUUGCUUCAGAAGGUCCCGGUUGAAGCAGUUAAGAGUAUUCGUGGCCGUCUGCCUCACGCUCUGUUGCAGCUGCUUGGCUCUGCCACUGCAGCUCGAGAGCCUUGCAAAGUCUUGUGAGCUCACCGAAGCGUCAGAAGAAAACCCCUGAUUUCUUACCCUGCCUCUCCUACCUCUAAAGACACCAGAUUAUGCUUUGGGAGAAAAAAAUCCAACUGGCCAAAGAGAUGCGCUCCUCCGUGGAUUCCGAGAUCGGCCAGCCGGAGAUCCAGGCCAUGAAGGGCGAGAUCCACAGGAUGAAGGUCAAGCUCGGGCAGCUGCUGAAGCAGCAGGAGAAGAUGAUCUGUGCCAUGGAGAUGGCGGUCGCCCGCAGAGAGAGCGUUACCACCCAGGCUGAGGGGCAGCUCAAGACGGACAGGAAGGCGCUCACCCACACCAAAUUCCACCAUAAGCAGCUCGAGCUGCGCCGGAAAAUCAGAGACAUCCGCAAGGCCACUGAGGAGUCCACCAAAACCAUCCUGGAACUGGAAGAAACUGAGAAAAACGUCCGCAACUCCCUCCAAGAGAGGAAGGAAGAGCUGUCGGUGCUGCAGGCAGACUUGGACACACGUGAAGCUGAACUCACCCGGCUCAGGGACCUCAAACAACAGGUGAACACGUCCCGGGAGGUCCCUGGGGGUAAAGGCACCUGGCCGUGAAUGUGCCACUCGUACAGAGGUCCCGCGUGCCCUAGGCUAUGGCCUCCCCUGAUCCCACGCCAGUAAUAGCACCACCAGCUGCUCACAUGUUUGUGGCUUUGUGAUUUGUUCGAUCAAUCGGUAUUGAUGGAGUAUCUGUUAUGGGGUGGGCUCCUGUUCAGGGUGCGAGGGCUGCAAAACAGAACAUGAAAGACAAACAUCCCCGCCCUACUAGAGGCUCCGUCCUGGGGCAGGAGACCAGGUGAUUAGCAAAAUAAUUUUAAAAGAUACAGUGUGUUUUAGCUGGGCAUGGUGGCACGCACCUGUGCCAUGGUGGCACGCAGCUACUCAGGAGUCUGAGGUGAGAGGAUCCCUUGAGCCCAGGAGGUCAAGGCUUCAGUGAGCCAAGAUUGCACCACUGCACUCCAGCCUAGACGACAGAGUGAGAUCCUGUCUCAAAAAAGAAAAGAAAAGAAAUGAUGUGUUAGGUGGUAGUAAAUGCUCUGGAGGAAAAUAAACCAGAGAAAGAAGCGUCAGGGGCAUCAGGUGAACCGAGGGCUUGGGAGUUUGAGUUCAGGUGAUCCGGGAAGGCCUUGUGGAGUCCAGAGCUGAAGAAGCGGACACCCACAAAGCCAACCCAGGCAGACGGACAGCCCAACAAAGGCAGGAGCCUGAAACUGUGCAAGG
rnacentral:lncRNA from 1 species